rnacentral:lncRNA from 1 species
GGCCGCGCGCCCUCCCGCCAGCCUGCUGGCCCGGCGGGAGCUGCGCUGGGGGUCCCCGGCUCGGCCCGCCCCACGCCGCGCUCACCCCCGAGAGGAUGCGGAUUCCAACUUGGAUCGGGGGAGGGAACGUCCUGGAUGCCGAGCGCCUCCCGGCUGUUUGCUCUUCUUUAUUUGUUUUCUUCUCCGAGAAAGGAGGAAAACGGAGAAAAGGAAAAGGAAAGAAGCGGCACUGGCCGCGUCUGCCGGCGGACGCCGGCUGCGCAGGAGCGAGGCGAGAGUCGAGGGAAACUGAAAAUCCAAGACUUAACAUGACUUCCCCAAGGCCACACUGCUGGAGAAAGGAAAUCCUACGAAUUAAAUGUGUUGUCAGAAGCUGGUUUAAAAAAAGAAAAGAUGGAAGCCAGGCACAGUGGCACAAGACUUAAUCCCAGCUAUUUGGGAGGCUGAAACAGGAAGACUGACUUCAAGUCCACCAUGGGGAACGUGAUGAGACACCUUUCUCAAAAAUAGAAAGACAAGGACUGGCAUAGUGUGGUGGAUUAUAAGGCUCUUCAGGAUCAAUUUUGGAACAAUAACAAAAAGUCAUGAUAAUAAAGCAGAAAGUAAAUGAUGAAUGAC